rnacentral:rRNA from 1 species
GGGCGCGGCCGGGGAGGCGGGGAUCACCCGAACCCAUUCCGAACUCGGCAGUUAAGCCCGCCAUCGCCGGAUGUACUGGGGGGG